rnacentral:rRNA from 1 species
UACUUCUUCGGACAAUAUACAAGGUGCUGCAUGGUUGUCGUCAGCUCGUGCCGUGAGGUGUUGGGUUAAGUCCGUACGAGCGCAACCCUGUCCUUAGUUACCAGCACGUUAUGGUGGGCGACUCUAAGGAGGACUGCCGGUGACAACCGGAGGAAGGUGGGGAUGACGUCAAGUCAUCAUGGCCCUUACGGCCUGGGCUACACACGUGCUACAAUGGUUGGUACAAAGGGUUGCCAAGCCGCGAGGUGGAGCUAAUCCCAUAAAACCGAUCGUAGUCCGGAUCGCAGUCUGCAACUCGACUGCGUGAAGUCGGAAUCGCUAGUAAUCGUGAAUCAGAAUGUCACGGUGAAUACGUUCCCGGGCCUU